rnacentral:rRNA from 1 species
AUACGUAGGGAGCGAGCGUUGUCCGGAAUUACUGGGUGUAAAGGGAGCGUAGGCGGGAGGGCAAGUCAGAUGUGAAAUACAUGGGCUCAACCCAUGGGCUGCAUUUGAAACUGCAUUUCUUGCGUGAAGUAGAGGUAAGCGGAAUUCCUGGUGUAGCGGUGAAAUGCGUAGAUAUCAGGAGGAACACCGGUGGCGAAGGCGGCUUACUGGGCUUUUACUGACGCUGAGGCUCGAAAGCGUGGGGAGCAAACAGGAUUAGAUACCCUGGUAGUCCACGCUGUAAACGAUGAUUACUAGGUGUGGGGGGACUGACCCCUUCCGUGCCGCAGUUAACACAAUAAGUAAUCCACCUGGGGAGUACGGCCGCAAGGUUGAAACUCAAAUGAAUUGGCGGGG